rnacentral:rRNA from 1 species
AUUGAACGCUGGCGGCAUGCUUUACACAUGCAAGUCGAACGGUAACAGGGUGCUUGCACCGCUGACGAGUGGCGAACGGGUGAGUAAUGCGUCGGAACGUGCCGAGUAGUGGGGGAUAACGCAGCGAAAGUUGUGCUAAUACCGCAUACGUACUGAGGUAGAAAGUGGGGGACCUUCGGGCCUCACGCUAUUCGAGCGGCCGACGUCUGAUUAGCUAGUAGGUGAGGUAAAGGCUCACCUAGGCGACGAUCAGUAGCUGGUCUGAGAGGAUGAUCAGCCACACUGGAACUGAACCACGGUCCAGACUCCUACGGGAGGCAGCAGUGGGGAAUCUUGCGCAAUGGACGAAAGUCUGACGCAGCCACGCCGCGUGAGUGAAGAAGGCCUUCGGGUUGUAAAGCUCUGUCGAGCGGGACGAAAAUACUUUGGGUUAACAGCCCAAGGGACUGACGGUACCGCUAAAGGAAGCACCGGCUAACUCUGUGCCAGCCGCCGCGGUAACAC